ACCUUGACCACAGCCUCUUUGGUCACUUCUUCCACCUUUGGAGGAAAGGUAUAUUUAUCCAAAUCAACAACAAAUUGACUAACAUUUGGAAGGAAUUUAUUAGCUUCCUCCACCCCUCUCUUGAACUGUAAGAUAGACUCGCGAUCAGUAAACAUGUUUGAAAGAGCAUUAGGAUUUAAAAAAGAGUCCAUAUGGACAUUCAAGUUGUUGAUGUUGUUUAAAGAACCAUGAGACCUCUCUGAGUUAUUCUGCAUCAAAGGUUGGAUGGAGUACUCUGAUGGAUGACUCUCCACAGGCAAAGACAAACUAGAUUCUCCAGGAUCAACAAUCCAGUGAGGAUCCAUGGAAUUACUAUGAGCAUUGCUACUACUUGUACUAUGGUCACUGGAAGUCUGGAAAAUGCUGUCAGGGCUUGGGCUUUCUAACUGAUGGUCAACAUGAUAGGGUGAAGGAGGGUACGACUUGCCAAGGGCUUCAUAUAAGGACUUCUCAGCAGCUUUUAGAGCAAGCGGGUCAUGAAACAUGCUGGGCUUAUCUUCAAUAUUCUCCUCCAUAAGUAUCUGGUUUAAGUACUUAAACAGAAAAUCAGAGUCAUGAUCAUCUGGAGAGUCCACUUCCGAGCUCACGUUUGAUGAUGGGGCGAAAUUACCAAUGUCUACACUUGGGGCCGUAUACGGAACACCAAAAGCAACAUAGUCAUCAUUAUAAUUGUGAGGAGGAUUCAGAGAUCCCUCAUAGCUAGACAAAUUAAUCUGAUCUUCGAACUCGAAAGUGUUUACAGGAUCAGACAACGGAAUGAAUCGAGGAUCCAUAACAGUUUUGUGUAUAAAACAAUCUUAAUGAGUGGAGUGAACAAGAUGACAGCAAAAGUGAAAAAAUGAGAGGCAGGCGCUUUUCUCAGUUUUUUUGAAGAGAAA
rnacentral:misc_RNA from 1 species